GUUCCUCUUUCCAGACACAAUAAACACCUGCAUGAAGUGCAAAAUGUAAAGGCAAACUUGAAGAGAAAACCAGCAUCUCCAUGUUGGCUGCUGUAGCUUUUUCAGCUUGAUCUGACCAGUUGCGCUGCUGCUGGAGAAGCAGACAUAGAGACAAAAGCAGAGCAGCUCACUAACUUUCUGAUGAAGCAACUGAACCUCCCCGCUUGCAAGCAGAUGCAGCAACCCAUAGGAAAUGGGCAUCCUCCAAACCUGCUCAUCAUCCUGUACAGCUGGGACAGAAGCACAGCAUGCAGGUAUGGGUCCCUGCCCCUCCAAGCACAGGGCGCACAGUCCUCUCCGUCACUGGGCUUGUGACUGCCUUGCCCCCUACAUCCCGGCACCAGAAGGAAAUUCCUGUUUCAUGGUCCUUCUGCCUUUUGCCACAAUGGAGAG